UGUGUGUAAAUUAAUAUACAGUCUGACCUGCCCCCUGAAAUUUUUAAAGGGCCGCGGUAUUUGAACCGUGCUAAGGUAGCAUAAUAAAUAGUCUUUUAAUUGAGGUCUAGUAUGAAUGGUUGGACAGGAAGUAAGCUGUUUUAGUUAUAAAAUUUGAAUUUUACUUUUAAGUGAAAAGGCUUAAAUUCAGUAAUGGGACGAUAAGACCCUAUAAAGCUUUACAUUUUUUUUAUUGGUUGGUAAGAGUAAGGUUCUUUAUUCUUUUUAAGUAAAAUGUUUCGUUGGGGUGAUGGAAAUAUAAAAUAAUAACUGUUUUUUUUUUAUAAAUAGAAUUUUUUAGGGGUAUUGAUCCUUUGUAGAGAUUAAAAGAAGUAAGUUACUUUAGGGAUAACAGCGUAAUUUUUCUUGAGAGUUCAUAUCGACAGAAAUAGUUGCGACCUCGAUGUUGAAUUAAGAUACCUCUUAGGUGUAGCAGUUUUAGUGGUAGGUCUGUUCGACCUUUAAAAUCUUACAUGAUUUGAGUUCAGACCGGCGUA
rnacentral:rRNA from 1 species